CGGGGAUGUCGCAGCCUCCCCGUAAAGUGGUGAUCCCACGCAAGCGCUGC
rfam:Bradyrhizobium yuanmingense strain BR3267 contig1037, whole genome shotgun sequence.